rnacentral:RNase_P_RNA from 1 species
GUGAGUCGAUGGGCAGGUCACGGGGUACUCCUGGGGAAACUCCUCUCUCCAAACAGGAAUGCGAUGCCGAGAGGCAUAUCCAUAGAUGGAUGGCAACGGAACAGAAACGAUAUCCGAUCCAGGAUAUACAAUGAGGAUGCGAGUCUGAGAUUACUGGCAAGGAGUGAAACGGCCGACCCGCAUGGAGCAAGGCCAAACAAGGUCUAUGAAUACCUGUUUGAGACCUGGGUAGGCUGCUUAGCUGAAUCCUGCUUAGAACAGAAAGAGGGUUAAGUGCGUUGGAAGGAC